GAAUUUUGAUUUAUCUCCAAGCUUUAACCUAAUAACCGGACCUGCUGAAGCUGGUCUACCGUUGCUGUGGCUGCGGGGUUGGCUUCGAUUCGGAAGUAAAUUGAAUUCUUGAAGAGCUGUGGCAUACCUAUGGAGUGCAUACAGAUGGCCCUCUGUGGCAGUUUCCUUAUGAAGACAUAAGUUGUGAGGAAAGCUGCAGAUGAGGUGAAAGAAAUGGGGCUCAAUUCAAGCUUCCAAUUUUUCAUGUAUCCUAUUGCUAUAUUGAGCAAAUGGCCCUCUGAAUUUGGGGUUUUCGGGGACCCGAGUGACAUGUUGAGCCUGUGUUGGAGGCUCUGCUUGCAACUGGGAAGUUCGAUACUCAGGCAUUGCUUCCCAGGAUCACUCAUGUGCAAGCUUCGAGAAGAGGUACGAUAUGAGCCACGGCUGAGACUUUUAAGAAUUCUUGAAGUAGGAACUCCAUUGAAAAUUGGCCUUCGCUUUGAACAAUAAGCAGAUUUUAAGAUGAUGAGUUAUUUGAGGGAUUUACCAUGCUUAUUUACAUAUGUACAACCUUUUGGCUUUUCAGGGUAUUUUAUUUUAUCAUUUCUGCCUAAUGUUAUUUUGACGAUUAUGAUGCCUUGUUUGACAUGAUUAAAAUCUAGGUUUGUAAUAGAAUUCUGAAUCUUUUGUUUGAAUGUAGAAUAUGCUAGAAUGUUAACAUGCUUUCUUCACUAUCCAA